rnacentral:lncRNA from 13 species
UGCUUGAUGUAACUCCAGCUUUAGAGAGCAAUGAGGAAGAGAUUUGAGACUUGAUUUGAACAGUCAGCAUCAUGAUAAAAACCAGUCACACCUGAAAGUCUGUCUACUAUAACAAUACCCUAUGUCUCUCUCUCUCUGACUGUCUACUUCGGUCUAACAACCCAACUAGCACAUUCGCUCCCUUGGAAGUUGUGGGAACGUGUGUUUUUGGUUUUCGCAUUGGUUGUGGGAACAAAGCCAUACGUUUCCUGACUGGUAAAACUGAAUGUUUUUUAAACGUUCUGAGNNNNNNNNNNGUAUUGUGUGUGUGUAGGGAUUCCCGUCCUGCUCUUACCUCUUCCAGCCCCAGCUGUCAGUCAGGAGAGCAGUGGACACACCCAUCCUCCAGGCCACGCCCCUAACCCAGAGCGCCUCCCCCGACAGACCUGCACGACUCAGGGUGUUUGUUCCAGAGUUCGUGUCGUCUCUCUCGGUGUCUGUGAGUGGCUGUACCUGGGGGGAGGGACUUGUGAACGGAGACUGUUCAUUGUCUCUCACGCUGGGCUCCUCCUCCCCCCAGGGGGAGCUUGUGAGGGUGAACUGUUCUCUGAUUGGCUGCUCGGCCGUUCUCCUCGCUCCCCCAUGGAAUACUUGGAUACGAGUCACCGUGGAUAGUUACCAUAGCAACCGAACCACAGCCUUCAGCAUCUCAGUCAACUACACAGUGGGUUGUAAGCCUCAGAGCGUGGGUAUGUCUGGAGACGAUUACAUUAACAGGCUCCAUGGCAACAGCAGCACGACAACAUCACCAGGCAACGGUUCUGUGGUUGCCGAAGCAGGUCGUCAUAACAAUGUGUCGUCGGAGUGUGUGUGGAGUGUCCCGGUGCUCCGUGAGGAACUAGACGUUCUGUCUGUCCGGUUCUCUCCCAUUAAUGGACCUAAUGUAACGGUCACACACACACACCCCACGCUCCUCACCUACCCCCUUAACACACAGUCUACUGGAGGGACCUUGAACCUGGAGAUUACACUCAACACUACUAAUGCAACGUUAGGAAACAGCAGUGUGAUGGCCUGUCUCUCUUCCUGGGCUCCUGUCCUCGCACUCAACUACUCCCAUCCCUGUCACACAGGUAGGACACACACAUACCAGACAUACAGUACCAGUCAAAAGUUUGGACACACCUACUCAUUCCAGUGUUUUUCUUUAUUUUUACCAUUUUCUACAUUGUAGAAUAAUAGUGAAGACAUCAACACUAUGAAAUGACACAUAUGGAAUCAUGUAGUAACCAAAAAAGUGUUAAACAAAUCAAAGUACAUUUUAUACUUUAUUUAACUGGGCAAGUCAGUUAAGAACACAUUCUUAUUUUCAAUGACGGCCUACACCGGCCAAACCCGGACGACGCUGGGCCAAUUGUGCGCCGCCCUAUGGGACUCCCAAUCACGGCCUGAUGUGAUGCAGUCUGGAUCCACUCCCUGAUAUUUCCCAGAUUUACUUGUAGAGCUUGCUGUACCUUGAUGACAGCUUUGCACACUCUUGGCAUUCUCUCAACCAGCUUCACCUUGAAUGCUUUUCCAACAGUCUUGAAGGAGUUCCGACAUAUGCUGAGUACAUGUUGGCUGCUUUGCACUAUGCGGUCAAACUCAUUCCAAACCAUCCCAAUUGGGUUGAGGUUGUGUGAUUGAGGAAGCCANNNNNNNNNNAUUCUUAUUUUCAAUGACGGCCUACACCGGCCAAACCCGGACGACGCUGGGCCAAUUGUGCGCCGCCCUAUGGGACUCCCAAUCACGGCCUGAUGUGAUGCAGUCUGGAUCCACUCCCUGAUAUUUCCCAGAUUUACUUGUAGAGCUUGCUGUACCUUGAUGACAGCUUUGCACACUCUUGGCAUUCUCUCAACCAGCUUCACCUUGAAUGCUUUUCCAA